rnacentral:tRNA from 1 species
GCAUGCGUAGCUCAGCUGGAUAGAGCAUCGGUCUUCGAAACCGAAUGUCGUUGGUUCGAAUCCAACCGCGUGCG